rnacentral:rRNA from 1 species
UACGUAGGGGGCAAGCGUUGUCCGGAUUUAUUGGGCGUAAAGAGCGUGUAGGCGGCCAUUCAGGUCAGCUGUGAAAACUCGAGGCUCAACCUCGAGACGUCGGUUGAAACCGUUUGGCGUAGAGUCCGGAAGAGGAGAGUGGAAUUCCCGGUGUAGCGGUGGAAUGCGCAGAUAUCAGGAGGAACACCAAUAGCGAAGGCAGCUCGCUGGGACGGUACUGACGCGUAAGGCGCGAAAGCGUGGGGAGCGAACAGG